ACUAACGAAGUAGAGAUACAUUAGGUGCCCUUCGGGGAGAGUCGAGACAGGUGGUGCAUGGUUGUCGUCAGCUCGUGUCGUGAGAUGUUGGGUUAAGUCCCGCAACGAGCGCAACCCUUAUUGUUAGUUGCUACGCAAGAGCACUCUAGCAAGACUGCCGUUGACAAAACGGAGGAAGGUGGGGAUGACGUCAAAUCAUCAUGCCCUUUAUGACCUGGGCUACACACGUACUACAAUGGCGGCGAACAGAGGGGAGCAAAGAGGUGACUCAGAGCAAAUCCCAAAAAGCCGUCUCAGUUCAGAUUGCAGGCUGCAACUCGCCUGCAUGAAGACGGAAUUGCUAGUAAUCGCGAAUCAGCAUGUCGCGGUGAAUACGUUCCCGGGCCUUGUACACACCGCCCGUCAAACCAUGAGAGUUGGGAAUACCCGAAGUCUGUAAUCUAACCGCAAGGAGGAUGCAGCCGAAGGUAGGCUCAAUGAUUGGGGUUAAGUCGUAACAAGGUAGCCGUAUCGGAAGGUGCGGUUGGAUCA
rnacentral:rRNA from 1 species